rfam:Nematostella vectensis strain CH2 x CH6 NEMVEscaffold_364_Cont25092, whole genome shotgun sequence.
UUCAGGUAUGGUGACAUGGUACCAACAACAGUCCCUGGGAAGAUCGUUGGCAGUCUGUGUUCGCUUAGUGGCGUGCUUGUCAUAGCUCUUCCUGUACCUGUCAUAGUGUCCAAU